AAGCUGGGAUCCACUCCAGGGUUGGAGAAGAUGUCGAAUUCCGCGGCGAAGACGGAGGGGCCGACGCCCGAGGAGUUGAAGAUUCCGUAGCUGCCACCGGUGAAGCCGAGGGGUAGAUCGACGGGGGCGAUGAAGAAGGUGAAGCCGUCGGCCGGGUUCGUGUCGCCGGGGUUGGGGGUUAUGAUGAAGUUCACGGUGGUCUCGAAGUCGACCUGCGCCCCGGUUUCCCAGAACGUGA
rnacentral:lncRNA from 1 species